AACGAACGCUGGCGGCAUGCCUAACACAUGCAAGUCGAACGAGACCUCCGGGUCUAUUGGCGCACGGGUGCGUAACGCGUGGGAACCUGCCCUUAGGUUCGGAAUAACUCCCCGAAAGGGGUGCUAAUACCGGAUAAUGUCUUCGGACCAAAGAUUUAUCGCCUGUGGAUGGGCCCGCGUUGGAUUCGCUAGUUGGUUGGGUAAAAGCCUACUAAGGCGACGAUCCAUAGCUGGUCUGAGAGGAGGAUCAGCCACACUGGGACUGAGACACGGCCCAGACUCCUACGGGAGGCAGCAGUGGGGAAUAUUGGACACGGGGCGAAAGCCUGAGCCAGCAAUGCCGCGUGAGUGAUGAAGGCCGUAGAGUUGUAAAGCUCUUUUACCCGGGAUGAUAGUGACAGUACCGGGAGAAUAAGCUCCGGCUAACUCCG
rnacentral:rRNA from 1 species